UUNUUAACGNGAAGAACCUUACCAAGGCUUGACAUCGCCGGAAAUCCCGCAGNAAUGCGGGUCCUUUGGGCCGGUGACAGGUGGUGCAUGGCNGUCGUCAGNUCNUNGUGAGAUGUUGGGUUAAGUCCNGCANCGAGCGCAACCCUCGUUCCAUGUUGCCAGCACGUGAUGGUGGGGANUCAUGGGAGACCGCCGGGGUCAANUCGGAGGAAGGUGGGGAUGACGUCAAGUCAUCAUGCCCCUUAUNUCUUGGGCUGCAAACAUGCUACAAAGNCCGGUACAGUGGGNUGCGAUACCGUGAGGUGGAGCGAAUCCCUUAAAGCCGGUCUCAGUUCGGAUUGAAGUCUGCAACUCGACUUCGAAGUNGGAAUCGCUAGUANUCGCNU
rnacentral:rRNA from 1 species